ensembl:snoRNA
CUUGAGGUCUAUCCCGAUGGAGCUUCUGUAGCUACACAUCGCUGGAAACGCCUCAUAGAGUAACAUUGGUUUUGCUCUACUCACAGGUCUGCUUCUUAGGCCUGUGAUAAAGCACUACAAGACAGCA